rnacentral:misc_RNA from 1 species
UCUCCGUAGGUGAACCUGCGGAGGGAUCAUUACUGAGUGAGGGGCUCCGGCCCCAGACCUCCAACCCAUUGUUAUCCGACACUGUUGCCUCGGGGGCGACCCGGCCUUCGGGCGUCGGGGCCCCCGGUGGACCCAUCAAACCCUGCGUAACUAAGUCGUCGGAGUUUAAACAAAUUAAACAAAACUUUCAACAACGGAUCUCUUGGUUCGGGCAUCGAUGAAGAACGCAGC